CAGGUGGGAUCAUAUUGCAAAACAGUAUUGUGGUAUAUACUAUACUAUAUUAUACAACAAUAGGUCUGCAAAUGACUUCAAUGCAUAUAUAGUUUCAAAAUAGAGAACGAUUUCGAUGAAGGACGAUAGAUAAUAAGCUACUUAAGAAGAGUAAUAAAUCUAUAUUAAUGUUUCUGCAAAUAAAAAAUAAAAUUCCAGUGAGUUAAUCAUUCUGAUAUGACAUUAAUAUGUAAGGAUAUGAAAAUUAAUACGGAUGUGAUCCACUUUCUUCAAUCUCCGUUUACAAUGGGUAAGAUUUAAAACACUGUCAAUGGGAAUAAUAACAUUUAUAUUACCUGAGAUUUCACCUCAGUACAUAAGAAACUUUCUAGCUAUUUGCUGGCCAUCUGUUAGCACAUUUUAUUGUGAAUGAACGGUGACCUAGAAUCUCUCGAUUUACGACUUUCUUUAAGCAAAUUGGUACAAAAUGAUAAAUGACACAGCAUGUGUAUGCAACGUUAUUAUACAUUUUUGGAGAAUCAAUGAAUAUAGUAAUAGUAGAAUAUUAAAAAUUCUUCCGGGUGCAGUAAAUAUAACUCCUCAUUUUAAUGUCCUCACAAAUUAUAUAUUCUAUUCGUAUUUCCAUUCCCUCUUCGUCAAAAUUACUAGUUUUAACAUAAAGAACAUUUCAACCUAUUCCAUUUUAACCCUGUUCUCCUUUUCACCUGUUUAUAUGGACCACAUUGGAUGUUUAUAUAUCUGUGUCAAUAGAUAUCAUGUAUCAUAUAGUCGAGAACAAAAAUAAGGACAGGUAGUAACAGUACAUAGGUAUCAAUAAAGUUUAAUCGAAUUGGUAGUAGUGUUAUAUACUUAAGUUUCAAUUACCUUAUAUACUCACAGUAUAUAAAUUAUUCAUUACAUAAUUGAAAUUAAAAUUUACAUUUCUGUGUAAAAAAAAGAAGCCGUAUUUAACGAAACUUUACUAAUAUCUAUUUCUACUACCUGUUCACUUAUUUCUAUUCUUAAUUGUGUAUGCACCUACAAUUUAGUUCUCAACAAUUCCCUAAAAAACCAAUAUGGCGUCGUUGUCGAAUCGUCGGUCAAAUCCAUAAAGAACAAAGGAUACUGAAACAUGAGGACAAAGAAAAAUGCCAAGGAAACAUGUCAAUUACGAAUCGACGAGCGGAACAAAUGGUGCGCGCUCGUGUCUAUAGAAAUCACCUGAAUUAACCGUACAAUAAUGUACGAAGAGACCGGAGCAUCGAGUCCGGUCCCACGAAAAGGGGAACAACGUCGCGAUAUAUAUACGUGGGAAUACCUCUUCGGAAAGAGCUCAUCAUCGUCAGCAAUCAGCGAUUGCCGCAUGCAGCUGCACCAUCAUCGGAAAUAAACGAAAGUAAGUCGAAUAGGAAGAUCUCUCGGUUCGAUGAUGAGAGGAGAGGCGGGAGGCGCGUUGAGGAUAGGCCCUAAAGAGCGCAGUACGCGCAGCUUCCGUGCGCAUCUUCCCUGUGUGAGUGAUAAUAGCGAUGAUGGAAACGACGUGGACGUUUACGACGGCAGCGACGGAGGUGCAACUGCUGUUUUGCAAUACGAGUGCGUCGUGAUAAUGGCAAGAGAAACGGUCUAGGGAGAGAGACGCAAAGCGGGAAAGGAGAAAAAACAAACAAUCGAGGGGGGAAAACAAAUCGAGAAAAAGAGAAGCUUAAACUGGAGGGCAGAAAAAGAAGAAACCGGGUACACAUGUGCAACGGUAGCCGGAAAGAUAAAGGGAUAUGGAGAAGAUACACUAUAUAUGUACUCUCUCGUUUUCGCUGCAAUAUUAUUGGAAACGAGCAUCCAGGCUGGACAUUGAACUCGCGCGUUGUGUUUGUUUCGAAUACAACGCGCGACGAGAAAAAAUGGAGGAAAAAAAUGGUCGCGAGUUGAGCGCUGAAGCCAUACCCGAACGGAGGGACAACGACUUGAGCAGAAAGCAUGAAAAUCCGAUAUGCCGUGGCAGAAUUAAAUAUCCUCUGGCGUAAAAUCAAUGCAGGCGGUCGGUACUGAUUAAUUCGCGGGUCCACGGUUCCGCAGAUGGCGCGGUGAUCGUGGUACACCGGUGUGGCCCGGCGACGAUCGUUAAAAAACGUCCGCGCGCAUUCAAAAGCGCAUAAUAACCGGGAAAAAGAGAGCGAACCGACGCCGUGGAAUAUCGCGGAGAAACGUGUAUCAAUUUCGAGAGAUGAAAAGUCGAGCAGAGGCGGAAGGUCGGUGGAGUACAAAUUACCGUGGGGCAGCUGCCCUCCGUUUGCGAUUCCCGUCGACUCGCGUGUAUAUAACACGAGACGAUGCGCGCAUGCGCGUUCUCUGUGUACGUUCACUUGCACAUCGAGGGGAACUAGGGUUGAAGAGGGAAAACAAACCAACGCGAAAGGGAAAAAUAAAUGCGCGGAGAUGAGAAGAGCCCCCGAGAGAAAUAGACUCUUCGAUAAAGCUGCAGAAAACAGUCUAGGAAAAAUCGGACUAAGGAAAACAUUGACCGAACAUUGUGGGACGAUGUGGAAAAUACGAAACCUGAAGAAAAAGGGCCAGAGCACUCUACAUAGGAGGAGGAAGAAACAGAUUGAAAGAGAAAAAGAUGAGAUGAGAAGGAACGAGAAUGUAAAAGAGAAGCCAGAGAGGGAAUCAGGGAGUGGUACAACAGCGAACCGUCAAGGAGGGGGGCAUGCGUGGGGUUAGAGAGGGAGAGGCAGAUAGAGGGAGCAUGAAAAACGAGAAAGAGCGAGAACAAGACAAAAUCGAGCGAAGCGGGGAGAGAAGGGGAGGAGAAGGAUAAACGGAGGGUGAAUGGGUGGGUGGAAGGGAGAAGAAACAUGCCAGAGGACGAUGAACUCUGGCGGUAGGCAGCUUCCGUCGCCUGGCAACGUUCUCCUCCCUUUUCCUCCUCCUCUCCCUGAGGCUCCAAGCCGUUAUGUCGUGGUAUCGUACGUAGGCAGUCCUCGUCAUGGACGUAGUAGUCGUGUCAUCGUCUUCGUCAGUGACGAUCAUGGUAGUCGUUGUUGUAUUUUCACGUAGUCGUGGCUCGCAGCUUGCGCUGCGUAUUGAUCGUACGGGAUGCUGCUGCUAGCUGCUGCUGGUUGCUGGCUGCUCCAGCGCUGGCUAACAGUGAGCUUUAGCCACAGCCCUACACCAAGGACCAAUAGGACCACCACUUUCUCUCUCUCUCUCUCUCUCUCUCUCUCUUGACUUUCUACUCGGCUUAUACCCACCCAUUAUUGUUGCCCAAAAAUGAAAGUAAAUGCAGUAAACUAUUGUUACUGUAUCGUUUUAGACGAUAGAAAAACUUCUGGUUGGUUAAUUUGAUAGGUGUGGUAGUUGGAUGAUUAUAGAAAAACAUAGGGAUGUGAUAAUGAAUGUUCUUUCACACUGUUUCAUUUUUUGAAACCGUAGAAGAAUAAAAUAACGAUUUGUAUUUAGAAGAGAAAAUGUGCCCAAGUUGAAAUUGGAAAAUGUUACAGACAUUAAAAUAAUACAAAAUACUAUAAUACUUAAAUGCAGAAGAUUCACAUAGAGAUGAUAAUGAUAUAAAGAUCUAAAUGUAUAUGUAAAAUGCAUGAGAAAAUUCUGGCCAUAAUUUUAUACGAUAUCGUUCACAUAAUCAAAAUCCAUUAGCCAUGCAUCACAUGUGCUACAUGUGUGCAAAAUGUGAACAUCAAAUCAAUGACCCUACCGUGUCUUCUCCCCAUCAAACGUCGAACCUUCGUCUAAUUAUAUCGCAAUAUAUCUCAAAAUAACCCAACUUCAUCAUCAGCUAACUACACCUAUCACUUGUACCAAUACUAUGCUCUUACUUUACCAUAUAUAAAAUAGGAAAGCGACAUGUUUCACAACAUAACCAUAUUUCUUCCACUAGACACGAGGCAUACAAAUGAGGCACAGAUACAUCUAACUCAUGACACGACAAUAAUACAUUAGCUUCGAAAAGGAUUAAAAGUAAUGUAUGAAGCAUACAAAGGGGACAUAAAUACGUCCACAACAUUUCUAUUGUUCGCCAAUUGCAAGAGGAAAGCGCGCGUUCACCGACACCUACACGUCGUGCAGAAAUGUCGGACGGCUAUCAAUGGUUAGAACACGUCGUCUCGAUGAAAAUACCGGCGAGAGGUGAAUGGUUCGCGGCACGUGAAAAUAGUUUCACUACACAAGGCUAUGUCGUAAAGUCGGCCGCUACCGCGAAGAACCGAUCGAGCCGAAAAUGAAAGCAAACGCGAGCCGUGACUGCCAAGUCCAACGAACCUGCCACUUGGCAGCCGACGUCCGUGCUCAAGAGUGUCUUUAAUACACUGAACCCGCUAAACCUAAAUCCAUUUUAACCGCGGAGUGUCGGUGCCCGAUGUUGGCACAGAAAACUGUCACUGGCAUCCAUGAAAUUGCCAGUGAUCCGUUCGACACGGUUACCGAUGAGUCAGCCGAUUUUCUUGAAUGAAGUUUCUUUCUUACCCCGUGUUAACGAGACUCGUUGAAUUAGGGGAUGGAUAGGACGAUUCUAAUCGGUCGUGAAACACAUACACGAAAUUAUUAUUUGAUGUACAGGGAUGAGUCACGUAUAUGACUCACGAGGGAAUAGGUGCACAGGGUGUAAUUCAUGCAUGAGCACCGUUGCAACUAAGUUUACAAAGAGUCUCGCAGUAAUUUAUAGCCACGUAAUACGUGAAGAACUACUUUGAGAGAAUGACAGCGAAGGAAGUUGUAAAGCAGGAUAUGUUAUUGAUAGUUUAUAGUUACAGGUCGUUAAAUCUGGCACGAGGUUUGUAGAUGGAAAGUGUCAAAACAUGAGGAGUGAAGAAGACAUUUUGUAUAGCUGAACGUGUCCUACUUUUCUGUAACACGUUUUUUACACGCUCUUUUAAAAUUAAAUUAAUGGCUACAAUUUUAUUGUAAUUUUAUAUAAUGCACUUGUAAUCUUAUCCACCAGAAUCUCUUUUUUGCUAAUGAAACUGGCGACUAAUGAAACGUAAUAUAAUAUACAGCGUUAUAAGGAUUCCUAGUAUCACAUUAUCAAUUCUAUACUAGUACCAUUUUUCAGAACAAGAGAAAAAAAUUACAUGCAUCAUAGAGCUUCUAGUACCACUUUUAAUUUUAUCCAAAUACACAAAAUUUAAUAUCAUGUAGCAACAAAAAUCUCUACAUAUAUAAAUUUACGAAGAAAAUAACAUUUAAUAUAGUCAAACGAGAUUUAUAGAAAUAAUUCUCUACCUGCUAUUAUUAACGAAUACUAACUAUAAACCAAGAAAAAGUACUUUUCC